GGAUGAGGUGUGGGUAGCGGAGAAAUUCCAAUCGAACUUGGAGAUAGCUGGUUCUCUCCGAAAUAGCUUUAGGGCUAGCCUCGAGGUAAAGAGUCAUGGAGGUAGAGCACUGUUUGGACUAGGGGCCCUUCUCGGGUUACCGAAUUCAGAUAAACUCCGAAUGCCAUGUACUUAUACUCGGGAGUCAGACUGCGAGUGAUAAGAUCCGUAGUCGAAAGGGAAACAGCCCAGACCACCAGUUAAGGUCCCCAAAUAUAUGUUAAGUGGAAAAGGAUGUGGGGUUGCUUAGACAACCAGGAUGUUGGCUUAGAAGCAGCCACCAUUGAAAGAGUGCGUAAUAGCUCACUGGUCGAGUGACCCCGCGCCGAAAAUGUACCGGGGCUAAACAUAUUACCGAAACUGUGGAUGAACCUCUUUAGAGGUUCGUGGUAGGAGAGCGUUCUAAGGGCGGUGAAGUCAGACCGGAAGGACUGGUGGAGCGCUUAGAAGUGAGAAUGCCGGUAUGAGUAGCGAAAGAAGGGUGAGAAUCCCUUCCACCGAAUAUCUAAGGUUUCCUGAGGAAGGCUCGUCCGCUCAGGGUUAGUCGGGACCUAAGCCGAGGCCGAUAGGCGUAGGCGAUGGACAACAGGUAGAGAUUCCUGUACCAGUGCUAAUUGUUUAACCGAUGGGGUGACACAGAAGGAUAGGGAAUCGCACGAAUGGAAAUGUGCGUCCAAGCAGUGAGUGUGAGAAGUAGGCAAAUCCGCUUCUCGCGAAGCAUGAGCUGUGAUGGGGAAGGAAAUUAAGUACGGAAGUUCCUGAUUUCACGCUGUCAAGAAAAGCCUCUAGGAAGAGUAGUACUGCCCGUACCGCAAACCGACACAGGUAGAUGAGGAGAGAAUCCUAAGGUGAGCGAGAGAACUCUCGUUAAGGAACUCGGCAAAAUGACCCCGUAACUUCGGGAGAAGGGGUGCUCUAUUAGGGUGCAAGCCCGAGAGAGCCGCAGUGAAUAGGCCCAGGCGACUGUUUAGCAAAAACACAGGUCUCUGCAAAACCGUAAGGUGACGUAUAGGGGCUGACGCCUGCCCGGUGCUGGAAGGUUAAGAGGAGUGCUUAGCUUCGGCGAAGGUACGAAUUGAAGCCCCAGUAAACGGCGGCCGUAACUAUAACGGUCCUAAGGUAGCGAAAUUCCUUGUCGGGUAAGUUCCGACCCGCACGAAAGGCGCAACGAUCUGGGCACUGUCUCAACGAGAGACUCGGUGAAAUUAUAGUACCUGUGAAGAUGCAGGUUACCCGCGACAGGACGGAAAGACCCCGUGGAGCUUUACUGCAACCUGAUAUGGAAUGUUUGUACCGCUUGUACAGGAUAGGUAGGAGCCGAAGAGACGUGUGCGCUAGCAUACGAGGAGGCAAUGGUGGGAUACUACCCUGGCUGUAUGACCAUUCUAACCCGCCACGCUUAGCGCGUGGGGAGACAGUGUCAGGUGGGCAGUUUGACUGGGGCGGUCGCCUCCUAAAGAGUAACGGAGGCGCCCAAAGGUUCCCUCAGAAUGGAUGGAAAUCAUUCGCAGAGUGUAAAGGCACAAGGGAGCUUGACUGCGAGACUGACAAGUCGAGCAGGGACGAAAGUCGGGCUUAGUGAUCCGGUGGUUCCGCAUGGAAGGGCCAUCGCUCAACGGAUAAAAGCUACCCCGGGGAUAACAGGCUUAUCUCCCCCAAGAGUCCACAUCGACGGGGAGGUUUGGCACCUCGAUGUCGGCUCGUCGCAUCCUGGGGCUGUAGUCGGUCCCAAGGGUUGGGCUGUUCGCCCAUUAAAGCGGCACGCGAGCUGGGUUCAGAACGUCGUGAGACAGUUCGGUCCCUAUCCGUCGCGGGCGCAGGAAAUUUGAGAGGAGCUGUCCUUAGUACGAGAGGACCGGGAUGGACACACCGCUGGUGUACCAGUUGUUCCGCCAGGAGCAUCGCUGGGUAGCUAUGUGUGGCAGGGAUAAACGCUGAAAGCAUCUAAGCGUGAAGCCCCCCUCAAGAUGAGAUUUCCCAUUUCUUCGGAAAGUAAGAUCCCUGAAAGAUGAUCAGGUAGAUAGGUUUGGAGUGGAAGUGUAGCGAUACAUGGAGCGGACAAAUACUAAUCGAUCGAGGACUUAACCAA
rnacentral:rRNA from 1 species